GGCCUGAGGCCCGUGAGGAGGCGGGAGUAAGGGGCCCUGCCUGAGGGGACUGGCGCCAUCAACACUGGCCACUUCGACGUCAUGGGGCUAGGUCAGAUGUGCGCUGACUACCCACCUGUCAGGUGACACGGAAUUGGAUCGGGACCCAAGAAACCCGUGGCAAGGAGCUGCACUGUGGCGAUGGCUCCCAAAGCCAAGAGAGGACUGAGAGGCUCCAUUGACGACGUCCUCGGGGAUCUCCUCGGCGAAGAUGACCCUGCACCUGCUCACCCUGGCCUCGGCCAGGGCCACGCAAGACCCGCCCGGGAGCCGCCUCCGAGAGCCGGUCGGAGGUCCUUCCUGGACGGUGAUGUCUUCGGCCCAGUGGCAGCCCAGGUUGACGAGGAGGCUGAGGUCUCGGAAGUCUCCGACGCCGACCCGCAGGCGCUGCUCCAGUCGAUGAAGGACAUGGAUGAAAUGGACGCCGACCUCCUCGGCCGGAGGAGAUCCAGUCCAGUAGCUAAGGCCAUCGCGAAGGGUUCUGGGAAGGAGGAGUCGCUCGAUGACCCCCCGAGAGCUGCAGGGACACUUGCCGCUGGUGAGAGAGGAGAGGCCUCCCGCAACCAGAAACCCCGUCCCUCCAUCGGCGGCUCUGGCCGGCAAUCCCGGAAGUUCUCCUUCGAAGAUGCCGCGGACCCCCUGGCGGGCCUCCUCUCUGAAGAUGAGGAGGAGGAGGCGGCCAGCAAGAAGCCCCCAGGCCCAGAGAGCAAAGCCGCUCCCCAGCAGAGCCCCAACACCCCCAGAGAGCGAGAACCUGCUGCCCCUGGACCUGCCAGCGGCCCACCCGCCCCGAAGAAGGAGGAGUUGGCAUACGAUGACAGCGACGACCUCAUGGCUGCGCUGGGAUUCGGGGACAGCCCCAAGGCCGGGCGCGAGCCGUCCAGGGGCAAUCAGGAAGAGCCCCGCCCGGCACGAACCAAGCUGGAUGAGUUGCUGGGGCGGAGCCCUGCCCCCAGGCUCCCAGAGCGUCCGGCUGCCGGGGAGCGUCCGAGGGGCCGGCUGGAGGGUGAGCGCCCCAAGCAGCCCGAACGGGAAGAUGCCCAGGCAGAGGAGGACUUGAUCUUCGGAGCCUACCAGCCCACCCUGGUCUCCUCGGAGGGCCGGCCCCCCCGACGGCCGUCCGUCAGGUUCUCAGCAGAGCGCCUCAGCGAGCACAAGCGAGCCAAGCCGGGUUCUCCCGCUGCCACCGCCGUCACUGCCACCCCCGUCUCCGCCCAGCCCGGCAAGAGAGGAGCCGAUUGGCUGGGCCUGAAAGACCAUGACCUUGACUCACCCCUCCCUUCUCCCCCCAUGGAGCCCAGGGGGGUGACCGCCCCAAACCCUCCAACCCUUCCUGGGGCCGAGCGGCCCGUGGAGGGGGGAUCCGCCCCCAAGGAGCCGUCGGAGGAGGGACAGGAGGAGCCAGAAGACUGGCUGAGCCAGGCUCUGAUGCGCAGGGGGAGAGCCAGGAAAGGGCAGGCCGGGCCUGUGGUCCUUCAAGCUCCCAGCAGCCAACCAGGGACCGGCUCUGAGGGGCUUGAGCCAAGGGUGGCCCAGGGGGCUCCGGGUACCUGCCGGGAUGCCCGGCCUGCCGGAACCACCAGCUUUGGGGCGCCCUGUGCUGGCCAGGUGCCGGCCGCCUCCCUGAGCAGCGAGGGGCUUCACGUAGGCUCCCCCAGAGUCGAACCUCCAGCUGGUAGCCCCUGGCCUCGGGAGCAGUCGGGCUUUGCAUCUGCCCAGCCCCUUCUCCCCGAGCCCCGAGGGCAGAGCCUGCUGCCCGGGAGCCGGGAGGACCAGAGGCAGAUCCCGCUGGUCAACCUGACCGAGAGCCCAGCCGAGCCGUUACGGGCCCAGGCCCGGCUGGCCGAGCUGGAGGCCCAGGUGCGGAAGCUGGAGCUGGAGAGGACGCAGCAGGGGCUCCUGCUCGAGACUUUGCAGCAGCGACACCAGGAGGACCUGGAACUUAUCGAGAACGCCCACAGGAGCCGCGUGAAGGUGCUGGAGAUGUCAUUCGAGCAGCGGGAGAAGAGACUCCGGCUGGAGAACGAGGAACUGGCGAGCCGGCAACAGGCCCGCUGCCAGGAGGCCGAGCGGGCCCUGGCGGAGCUCCAGGCCCAGCACCAGCUCCGUCUGGCGGCCGUCAAGCAGGAGAAGGACCGGGAGCUGGAGCGACUGCGUGACCUGCAGCGGGCCUCCGUCCUGGAGAUGCGCCAAGACCACGAGGAGCAGCUGCAGCGUCUGAAGCAGCUGAAGGAUCGGGAGAUUGACGCCGUGACCAGCGCCACCUCCCACACUCGGUCCCUGAACAGCAUCAUCGAGCAGAUGGAAAAGUUUUCUUGCCAUCUUAGUGACCUCUCGUCCCGCGUGGAGGCCGCCCACGUCACCACCACCCAGGAGCGGGAGCUGGGGGCCCGGCAGCGCGAUGAGCAGCUCCGCGCGCUGCAGGACCGACUGAGUCAGCAGCAGCGGGACACAGAAGAGGAGCGGGGCCGGCUGCACGGGGCCAUCGCCAAGAUGGAGGCUCGGCUAGGGGAGCAGGGCCGCCUCCUGGAGCAGGAACGCUGGAGGGUCAGCGCGGAGCAGUGCAAGGCGGAGGCCUCGCAGCGUGCCCUGGAGGAGCAGAGGAAGGUCGUGAGCCAGCAGGCGGCCAUGGAGCGUGAAGAGCUGGAGAGGGCCAAGAGUGCCUUGCUGGAGGAGCAGAAGUCCGUCCUGCUCAAGUGUGGGGAGGAGCGGCGGCGGCUGGCGGCCGAGUGGGCCGAAUUCUACGCGCAGCAGAAACUGCAGAAGGAGCGGGCGGAGCGCGAGGUGGAGCGGACGCUGCAGGCCGACGCUCAGAGGGAGGGGACCGUUCUCCACCUGGCCAAGGAGCAGGCAGAGCUGAAGGCCCGGGCCGGGGAGCUGCGGGCCGGGGAGCAGCGGCUGGCGGAGGAGCGGGAGGCGUUGGAGCAGGAGCGGCGGCUGCUCAGCGAGGAGAAGGGCCGGGUCAGCGCCGCAGCCGGCCGCCUCCGACAGCGGGCCGCGGAGGUCGACAGCAUGAGCGAGGUGGCCGCACGGAAGUUCGAGGAGGGCGAGCGGGCACUGCAGGAGGCGCGGCAGGUGCGGGCCCAGCACCAGGCUCGGCUCCAGCUCGUGCAGCAGCAGCAGGAGCAGCUGAGGCAGCAGGAGGAACAAAUGCACCACGAGCAUCUGAACCUGGCCCAGCACAGGUGGCAGCUGGACGCCCCCCGCGAUGACCUCCACCACAAUCUCCCCCGCGGGCCCCUGGGCCUCGCCAGCCUGCACGCCUCUCCUGUUGGUGGCAGCGGCGGCAGCAGCAGCCUCCCCCCUGGCAGCCAGCCUUCCUCGGGCAUCUCCCAGCUGCAUGCCCGGCUGGUGCUGCUGAAACACUCCGCUCAGCGGGACCGGGACUUCCUGGAGGAUGAGCAGUUCUUCCUGGAGACCCUGCGCCGACCCUCCUCCCACCCGGCGUGAGCGGAGUGGAGGGCACAGUCCUGGCCAAGAUGCCGAGAGCGUGCCCUGUCCGUCCGGCAACUGAGGCAGUGGCGGGAAGCGGGUCAGGGAGCUGAUGACCCCGUGGAUCCCAUCAGAGCGUCCAUCUGGCGCGGCAGUGAUUGGGCCUUAUGGAGACGAGGUCAGUCUGACUUGUGAAAUAAAGACACUAUUACUGCUGCCGCCACUUCUGACCAAAUCCAGUUUAUCACUUCCCCACUUGAGAAGAAAAACAGGGCCCCGGGGUUGGGCAGUACAAGAAUAUGCCCUUUCUGCCACCUCCGUCCAUCUGACUGUCCGCCUCGCCCCAACUUGAAUGGUGAUGUUUCAUGCCAAGACAGUAGCCUAACGACCCGCGGUUCAAAAGCUCUGUCUUUGAUGGUCAAGCUUUGCUCUCUGACACACGCCCUUUUGACCGGGGCCGGACCAGGCGCCGUUCAUCUGGCAGUUUACAAGGGAUGGGACCCCAAGCUCCUCCAUUCCUGGCUCUAAGAGAUUCCCCACCCGCAGGGACCUUACAGACGAGUGGGUGGUCCCGAACACUUAGUACAGCGUUCCGCACACAGAAGGCAACCGGCCAGUGCCCAGCCCCAUCAUCCAGAUGACCCAAGUGGCCACUUUUGAGCUUGAAUAACCUGGUCCGUGACUCAAAUCUUCACUUUGUGCGUGUAGGUGGGGGUGACUUGAGAGUAGCCAUUUUCUUCCCGAAUGCUUUUAAUAUAACGGAAGAAUUCGACACCUUUUCUUACGUUUGGAGCGUGUUAGUUUUCAUUUUCACAGAGAUAGGAGAUGAGCUAAGGGGACGGGGCGGCUAGACCGGAAUGGCAACGGACGG